AUUGAACGCUGGCGGCAGGCCUAACACAUGCAAGUCGAGCGAGCGGCGGACGGGUGAGUAAUGUAUGGGGAACUGCCCGAUAGAGGGGGAUAACUACUGGAAACGGUGGCUAAUACCGCAUACUAUCGGAUGAACCCAUAUGGGAUUAGCUAGUAGGUGGGGUAACGGCUCACCAAGGCGACGAUCGCUAGCUGGUCUGAGAGGAUGAUCAGCCACACUGGGACUGAGACACGGCCCAGACUCCUACGGGAGGCAGCAGUGGGGAAUAUUCCACAAUGGGCGAAAGUCUGAUGGAGCAAUGCCGCGUGAAUGAAGAAGGUUUUAGGGUCGUAAAGCACUUUUGUUGGUGAAGCGGUAACCGCAGAGAAAGCAACGGCUAACUACGUGCCAGCAGCCGCGGUAAUUC
rnacentral:rRNA from 1 species